CUUCAACGAGCCCAGGGCCAGCGGGGCGGCGUCGCCCCGGCCCUGCCCGUACGUGGCCAGCAGCGCCUGGGCCUC
rnacentral:antisense_RNA from 1 species